CAGUUCCUAACCUCAGGAAAGAUGCUUACCCUUAAAGAAAUGCCAAUGUAGGGGGAAGUUGCGCCUUUAUCUUAAGGCCAUUUGUUCUUGCCAUAGCAAAUGCUUGGAGCGGAUAUACAAUGCAUGCUCAGCGGCCAUGUCAGGCCCUUUUGGAAAAAAAAUAGGAUGGAAUUAGGUUUACACCAAAUGGCUUCCUCAUAUACUCCAAUAUAUCCUAUUUCUUGCCAUUUCUAUUUGUCAGAGGAAAUUUCUAAUUUUAUUUACUGUUAGAAUUUUUGGGGCAAUAUCUGGUAAUAGGUCCAUUUGCAGUCAAACAUAAAUGCCUAAUGAGUUAUUUGGAAAUGAAACUAUUGGCUUAUUUCAGGAAGACAGAGAGAGAGAUGCAGGUGGUGGGGAAGUCAGGAGAGAAAGGGAGAAGGCGGUGUGAAAGCUUUCUUAUGCUUGUAUGUAGUGUCAGUAUAAAAUAUUUUUAAACGUUGGGGAAUAAAAUCUCCUGUUCAUUUUUGGGAAUUUCUGCUGCUUCUUUGCCUUGAGCCUUAUUUAUCAUUCAUUCAUUUAUUUAGGGGUUACAGCAUAUAUUCCUGAAAUUCUGGAUGGUGGAAAUCCUUGCCCUCUAAAAGCAGAAGUCCCUCUGGGUGCAGACUGAUGCUUCCCUUCAAAUCUGGAGCUGGAGAAGUUUCGUCAUGGAGAAAGAGCCCUCUCCCACCUGCGCCCAGCGCUUUUGACUUUGAAUCACCUCAAGUGGGGAUCCAUCAUCUCUGGUACAAGGCCUCGGAGCGUAGUACAACACACAGACACACACGAAUGCGGACCUAUGAAUGUGCUCAGAAAAAAAACAAACACACACUGUCUCCAUAUGCCUACCAACAACCUCUAUCUCUACCGCUACCCGUCCUGAGCGCUAAGAUGUUGACGGAAGAAGGCGGAGUGGUGAGGUAGGCAUGGGUGCAUCUGGUGAAGGUGGGUCAUUAUUGAACUGACAUUGGUAUUCUUAGAUUGAUUUCAACUAGAAGCUUGAUGAGAGAGUGGAUAUCUCAGUUCAGGAGACUAAGUAAGCUAGAAUAGUAAAAGGGACUUUUUUGUUUUAAUUUUAGAUGAAGUCUUCUCUCACUGUGUGGCAGACAAACUUUUAAGGUGAUGCCCCCACAUCUCCUGCCUCCUAGUGUUCACACCCUUAUGACUCUCUACCAUGUGAUUUGUUUCUAACCAACAGAAUAUGGCAAAGGUACUGCUUGUCAGGCCACGUUGAGGCAGCGUCCCACAUCCCACAACUAGAAGGACGUGCAACUAAGAUAUACAGCUGUGUACAGGGGGGAUUUGGGGAGAUAAAGCAGAACGAAAAAAAAAAAAGGAAGAUUGGCAACAGGUGUUACCCAGGUGCCAAUCUUUAAAGAAAAAAAAUUUUAAAAAAAAGAAUAUGGCAAAGGUGAUGGGAUGUAUGAGAUUACAUGUACGUGAUUACAUGAUCCUGUUACAUAAGAUUGCAGCUUCCAUCUUGCUGGAGUCUCUCUUUCUCCGUUGCUGGCUUUGAAGAAGCAAGAAGCCAUGGAGCAGACCCCCAGGUGGUAAGGAAAUGCAGAACGGCCUGAAGAAGCUGAGGACCCCCUCCGUCUGAAAUCCAUCAAAAAAACUAAAGCCCACAGUUCUGCAACCACAAGGAGCUGCACUUUGCAACAACCAGAGUGAGAUGAAAAGCAGAUUCUUCCCCAGUUGAGUCUCAGAGACCACAGCCCCAGUCAACACCUUGACUGUAGUCUUGUGAGACCCUAAGCAGAAGACCCAGCCCAGCUGUGCUCAGACUCCUGACCCACAGAAAUUGUGAGAUAACAAUUGUACACUUCUUGUUUUUCAAAGCUACUAAGUUGUGGUAAUAUUGUUAAACAGGAUUAGACAACACUUGAAACUAUGUUCUCUUUUUCUUCCCUCUCUGUCCUAUCAUCCUGUCAAAAACUGAACUACUUCUAUAGUGAGCUGAAUGAAUUUUUCUGCUUAAUCCAUAUCACCUUAGGUCUUAUAGGAAAAUUUGCCAAAACUUCUGGAAUAGGACUUGCUUCCUAUUUAGAAUAAAUUCAAAAGUUAGGUGCA
rnacentral:lncRNA from 1 species